UACGUGAAACCGUUCAGGGGUAAACGGGAGAGACCCGAAAGAUCGAAGGGGGAGACUCAAUCCUGCCCGCGCGUCCGAGACGCUAAUUCUCCGCGGAUGAUCCCGUCCGCCGUCCGUGCCGCAAGGUUCGCGACGGUCCGUAUCGGGGUCACCGGGACUUUCGUUUCGGCCGCGGCGGGAUGCACUUCUCCCCUUGUAGGACGUCGCGACCCGCUGGGUUUUAAUCUAAGACCGGUCUAAGGCACUCGGGGUGGAGCCCGAGGGGAUCGCCGCGGAAACGCGGGUCAACGGUUCCCCGGACCCCCGGUCGCCCGGCCGGCGCCCGGCGGUAACAAUCGCGGAGCAGGCCCGCUACUGUGCGUCCGGCCCGAUGUGCAAGCUCUGCGGCGGAUCAGCUCGAGGUGCCGUGGCAUCAGCCACGUCCCCGGCCCCCGCAGGCUGCUGGCUCUCGGAGUCCUCGGACGGUAGCCCGUCUCCCGUCAGCGGCGCUCACGCUUCGGGUGCUCUCCCGACCCGUCUUGAAACACGGACCAAGGAGUCUAACAUGUGCGCGAGUCACUGGGAUGUAUCUAAACCCAGAGGCGAAGUGAAAGCGGGAGAGCCUCUGCGCUCUCUUGGGAGGAUGGCUGCCCUCCCCGUAAUGGGUGGGGGCGCCCGCACUCCCGGGGCGCCUCGGCCUUCUGGCUAAGGCGCACCCGGAGCGUACACGUUGGGACCCGAAAGAUGGUGAACUAUGCCUGGUCAGGACGAAGUCAGGGGAAACCCUGAUGGAGGUCCGCAGCGAUUCUGACGUGCAAAUCGAUCGUCAGAGC
rnacentral:rRNA from 1 species